UAGGAGUAAAAAUGGACCUUGAAUGAACAAUGGAACUUUAAUUUCUGACUGGCUUUCGUUGGACAAGGAACCUCGAACCGGAGUGAAUCGAACGGCGACCUAGAUGAUGAUCUCGAACUCGACUUUGGAGUUGCUGUUUUCGUGCGAAAAGGGGGCUGUUUUUCUGCAUUUUCGGCUGAUUUUGGAGGUUGUUCAGCAGCUGGUGGUUUUGAGCUGAUGAAAAUGGUGUCAUUUCAGCAGGUUUUGGAAUUGAUUUAAGGGGCUGUUUCAGGUCAGUUUUCAUGGGAGAUGGUGGCUGGUUUUAAACUGGAUUUUUAGCUCGUUUUUGGAGCUGUUUUGAGGUCGUUUUUAGGGUGUUUGAGCAGCUGUUUGGUGGUGAUUUUAAUCUGGGCUUGGGGCUGAUUUUGAGGCUGGUUUUGUGGGUUUGAGAGGCUAUUUUUCAGCUUGUUUUGCUGGGAUUUUGGUGUGGAAACAGGGCUGGUUUUGGAUGUAUUUUCAGGUGUUUUUGGAUGGUUUUGAGCCAGGAUUUCACGGCUGUUUUUUUUUUUGGACUAAUUUUCGUGAUUUUAGGGACUGUUUUAGGUGUCAAUUUGUCUGUUUCCUUGGUUUAUACGGUGGCUAAAGGUGGCUUUAAUGGAGUU
rnacentral:lncRNA from 1 species